CCCGGAGUGGGGGAGGCUGGCGAGUAUCUGCGCGCGGCUAGCGGGGCGGCCAUGCUGCGGACGCGCGGGGUCCCCGUGGGCUCCUCGCUACUCCGGGCCGCGCUGGGCCUGGGGCCGGGGCCGCGGCCGGGGCGGGCGGCGUCGCGGGAGCGCGGGCAGGGCUGGCUGCAGCCUGCGGGCUACGACACGGGCGUCACGGUGUACAACAGCCUCACCAGGAGGAAAGACCCCUUGAUCGUGAGCGGCGCGGACACCGCCUCCUGGUAUAGCUGUGGACCAACUGUCUACGAUCAUGCACACCUGGGUCAUGCUUGCUCAUAUGUUAGAUUUGAUAUAAUUCGAAGGAUCCUGACCCGGGUUUUUGGGUGCAACAUCAUCAUGGUGAUGGGAAUUACAGACGUGGAUGAUAAAAUAAUCAAAAGAGCCAAUGAGAUGAACGUGUCUCCCGCUUCCCUGGCCAGUCUUUAUGAAGAAGACUUUAAACAAGACAUGGCAGCCUUGAAGGUUCUCCCACCCACCGUGUACCUGAGGGUAACUGAAAACAUUCCUCAGAUAAUUGCUUUUAUCGAGAGAAUAAUUGCUAACGGGCACGCUUACUCCACCCCGAAAGGCAAUGUCUACUUCGACCUGCAGUCAAGAGGAGACAGAUACGGCAAGCUGGUCGGCGUGGCCCCUGCCCCCGUGGGAGAGACAGAUCACUCUGACAAGCGGCAUGCCAGCGACUUUGCCCUGUGGAAGGCGGCGAAGCCCCGGGAGCCGUCCUGGGCCUCGCCCUGGGGAGACGGGAGGCCUGGCUGGCAUAUCGAGUGUUCCACCAUCGCCAGUUUGGUGUUUGGAAGCCGGCUGGACAUCCACUCGGGUGGCGUAGAUUUAGCGUUUCCUCACCACGAGAACGAAAUCGCACAGUGCGAGGUCUUUCACCAGUGCCAGCAGUGGGGGAAUUAUUUCCUACAUUCUGGGCAUUUGCACGUGAAGGGCAAAGAAGAGAAGAUGUCCAAAUCACUGAAGAACUACAUCACAAUUAAGGACUUCCUCAGCACGGCCUCCCCAGACGUCUUCCGCCUCUUCUGCCUGCGGAGCAGCUACAGGUCAGCCAUGGACUACAGCGACGGCGCCAUGCUCGAGGCCAGGCGUCUGCUCCGUGCCGUGGCCGCCUUUGUGGAGGACGCUCGGGCCUACAUGAGGGGGCAGCUGGCGGGCGGCCCCGUCCAGGAGGACGUGCUGUGGGAGAGGCUGGGCCACACCAAGGGGGCCGUGCAGGCGGCGCUGGCGGACGACUUCAACACGCCGGGGGCGGUGGACGCCGUCAUGGACCUGGCUCACCACGGGAACAGACAGCUGAAGGCGGCUGCUGAGGCGGCCGGUGGUCCCAGGAGCCCUGCUGUGUUCGGUGCUGUCGUGUCCUACGUGGAGCAGUUCUUUGAGACGGUGGGGAUUUCUCUGGCUGAGCGACAGGCUGUCCUCUGCACAGAAGCGUCCUUGCCUGAUGCCCCACGCCAGGGUCCCUCCUCCUCCAGGGGGCCCGCCUCGUUAUACCUCACCUAACGAACAGCCUUAGGACUGUUGUUCAGGACCGAAAAGGAAAGGGCCAUAGCUGCCACUUUCUAAAAAAGUGUGAACAGGCUGUUAACAGGGGAGCCUGGACUGCACACGGGGGGACGCCACCCCGGAUCUCCCUGCGGGCCCUGCCGGGUCACCUGCUGCCGUGAGGCCUGGGCACAGCCCACACUGCCGGGCCGGGGACCUGCCAGCUGAGGCCUGGCGCCGGCUGCCCUGGCCGUGAGCGGGGAUGUCUCCUAGGACUGUUUGUUAGGCUGUGAGCUUCUCUGGCGUCAACAGAAAGACUCGCGUAUCUUUGCAAUGAUUUGUUUGAUCGAGAGACACUGAUUCCCUAGUGGACUGUGGCCUUCCCUGGGCGGUCCAGGGCCUGUUGGCGGCUCACACUAGGCUGAGGGGGCCAGGUCUAUGCUGGGUCACCAGAAGCCCACCUCCUCCCCGAGCUGGGGCGCCCCCGGAGCCCGCUGGGGGGCUCACGUCUCUGUAACGAGCUGUCUUCUACUGUGGGAGCAGUGGCUGGGGAUCACGUGAGGUUGAAAGAGUUGGACCGCUGGCCCCUCCUCCGUGGGGCGGGGGGUGGGGGUGGGGUCGGACACCUGGCAACUUGGAAGGGCUCCGGGCCCACACCAGCCCUGGAGCUGCCCCGGCCGGCACCCACACUGAUGGUCCCCGGCCCCAGGGGAGAGCGCCGCGGGGCUGCACGUGUGCACGCGCCCACCCGUGCGCAGAACGUCCAGGGCCUUGAACGGUGGCUGGAGCAAGUUUGGUUUCCUUGGUCGAUGAGGCCCAGGCCUGCCAGCUCUGCCCAAUGACCCUCCGAUGCUGCCCGUCUGCAGUGGCAGCUCCCGCUCACCAGCCUGGGCGACCGGGAGACCAGGCCCUUCGGGCGAGUGUGUUUCAGGGGCCGGCGGCCCGGCCGCCCUGCACAGCGUGGUCGAGGAGCUGGUCCGCUUCCGGCAGAAGGUCCGGCAGUUCGCUCUGGCCGCGAGGGAGGCCCCCGGGG